GAAGAACCUUACCAGGUCUUGACAUCGGAUGCAUAACCUAGAGAUAGGCGAAGUCCUUCGGGACAUCCAGACAGGUGGUGCAUGGUUGUCGUCAGCUCGUGUCGUGAGAUGUUGGGUUAAGUCCCGCAACGAGCGCAACCCUUGUAUUCAGUUGCUACGCAAGAGCACUCUGGAUAGACUGCCGUUGACAAAACGGAGGAAGGUGGGGAUGACGUCAAAUCAUCGUGCCCCUUACGACCUGGGCCACACACGUACUACAAUGGCGCACAACAGAGGGAAGCAAGACAGCGAUGUGGAGCAAACCCCUAAAAUGCGUCCCAGUUCAGAUUGCAGGCUGCAACCCGCCUGCAUGAAGUCGGAAUUGCUAGUAAUCGCGGAUCAGCAUGCCGCGGUGAAUACGUUCCCGGGCCUUGUACACACCGCCCGUCACACCAUGGGAGCCGGUAACACCCGAAGUCAGUAGCCUGACCGCAAGGAGGGCGCUGCCGAAGGUGGGAUUGGUGACUGGGGUGAAGUCGUAACAAGGUAGCCGUAUCGGAAGGUGCGGCUGGAUCACCUC
rnacentral:rRNA from 1 species